AUUGAACGCUGGCGGCAUGCCUUACACAUGCAAGUCGAACGGUAACGGGCCUUCGGGUGCCGACGAGUGGCGAACGGGUGAGUAAUGCAUCGGAACGUACCCAUCAGUGGGGGAUAACUCUCCGAAAGGAGGGCUAAUACCGCAUAUUCUGUGCGCAGGAAAGCGGUGGACCGCAAGGCCUCGCGCUGAUGGAGCGGCCGAUGUCAGAUUAGCUAGUUGGUGGGGUAAAGGCCUACAAAGGCGACGAUCUGUAGCGGGUCUGAGAGGAUGAUCCGCCACACUGGGACUGAGACACGGCCCAGACUCCUACGGGAGGCAGCAGUGGGGAAUUUUGGACAAUGGGGGCAACCCUGAUCCAGCCAUGCCGCGUGAGUGAAGAAGGCCUUCGGGUUGUAAAGCUCUUUCGGCCGGGAAGAAAUCGCAUCUCCUAAUACGGGGUGUGGAUGACGGUGCCGGAAUAAGAAGCACCGGCUAACUACGUGCCAGCAGCCGCCGUAAAAC
rnacentral:rRNA from 1 species